AUCCACGGGGAGGAGGAGCAAUUCACUAUAAAUUCGUCCCGAAAAAUAGGUACAAUAUGAGGUAUAAAAUAUCCUUAACCGAAACCAACAAGAAGACAACAGAGUAUCGAAAAGAAGUCAACAAAGAUCCAAUCGGAUCUACCAAUUUCAGCCUCGGCAAUAGAUCAAGGUAAGAUAAUACCUGAGGUGAAGAUACUUUUCUCAAUCCUCGGCAAAAAAUCAAGAUGAAUACCUCCUUACCAACCGAACAAGCGUUCGGUCAUCAGCACAGGGCAUCUGUGAAAUCGAGAAGGAAGAAGAUAGGUAGAACACUAACAGAACACCAGCGGGAGAAGGUCAGGAAGAACACCAGUGGGAGAAGGCCAGGAAGAACACCAGC
rnacentral:lncRNA from 1 species